rnacentral:rRNA from 1 species
GUCUACAGCCAUGCUACCCUGAACAAGCCCGAUCCCGUCUGAUCUCGGAAGCUAAGCAGGGUCGGGCCUGGUUAGUACUUGGAUGGGAAACCACCUAAGAAGACCAGGUGCUGUAGGCG